rnacentral:misc_RNA from 1 species
CUAACCUUUGAACUCUGCAUAACGCAUCUUUCAAUAUAUUUAAUUGGAUUACUUGCACUUUUGUCUUGUUUGCCCAAUAAUGUAAUUGUGUCUAGAAGGAUUAUGCUUAUAUAAUUAUUAUUGAUUCGCAAAUCAAAAUUAGUGCCACAAUGCUGCUUUGGAAGAUGCAGAGACAUUGAGGAGUUGAGUUGGUGGCAGUUUUAGAACUUAUAGAAUGGAUUAAUCCAAGAAGUCUUGGGCACAACCUCUGUUACCUUGUUGCUUAACCAGUUGUUCCUAUUGUUUAGGAAAUAAGCCAAUAAUUUACAUCAGGUUAAUUUGUUGGCAAUAUUGUGCUACGUAGCCAGUUUUUGCAAAUGAUAUUGGAUUUGGAUGGAACUUUUAACAUUUAGUUCCUGUUUAUUGCAGUGGCAGAUAUUUACUGGGAUGGAAGUUCCUGCUUUUAUAUUUUCCAUCAAGAGUCAAACUAUCUUGAUGGAUAUUAAUAUAUCAUUGAUCUUGUUUAUUUUUUCAUAUUUUCCCAUUGAUCUUUUUGUUCUUAAAGCAAGUGAAUCUUUUGCAUAUUUUAUUGUUUUAUAUAAUUCAUCUUGUCUAAUAAUAUGUUUGCUCUAUAAUAUUGCUAUUCCUUCAUGCUUGUGUCCUUUUCCAUUUUAUUUUUAAA